rnacentral:rRNA from 1 species
AUUGAACGCUGGCGGCAUGCCUAACACAUGCAAGUCGAACGAAGGCUUCGGCCUUAGUGGCGCACGGGUGCGUAACGCGUGGGAAUCUGCCCUUGGGUUCGGAAUAACUCAGAGAAAUUUGAGCUAAUACCGGAUGAUGACGUAAGUCCAAAGAUUUAUCGCCCAAGGAUGAGCCCGCGUAAGAUUAGCUAGUUGGUGGGGUAAAGGCCUACCAAGGCGACGAUCUUUAGCUGGUCUGAGAGGAUGAUCAGCCACACUGGGACUGAGACACGGACCAGACUCCUACGGGAGGCAGCAGUAAGGAAUAUUGGACAAUGGCCGCAAGGCUGAUCCAGCCAUGCCGCGUGCAGGAAGACGGACCUAUGGUUUGUAAACUGCCUUUGAAUGGGA